AAGCUCCAAAACUUUAAUAAUAUAACUAUACCAUGAAGUGUGACCUUCAUACAGUCUUUCAGAUAGUACCAGUGCUUCUUUUAGUAAAAUGUCAUCAGAUUUUUUUUUAAUGUUAUCCAAUAUUUCAGGAUGCUUAAUAAAAUAGACAAUUGUAUUGGUAAAUGUCCCACUUCUUCCAUGACAGCAUUAUUUGUGCUCUUUCAGUUCACA
rnacentral:lncRNA from 1 species